rnacentral:misc_RNA from 1 species
UUAAUUCUCAUGUAUGUUCAGACGCAAACGCUUAUCGGCAUAAAUGCGGCGCCGGAGCGCCGAAGCACGGGUUGCUUCCACAGGUUUGAGGGUUGAAGGCCGAAGCCAUUCAGUAAUGAUCCCUCCGCUGGUUCACCAACGGAGA